AUGACUUGUGUCUUAAUGGCACUGGACCAAUUCAUUGAUUCCAGCUUUGUUGCUUAUAGUUGUACGAAAAGGUCUGAAGAAGAGGAGGAGAGAUUGCAUAAACAACGUGUAACCUUAAUGAAUACCCUAGUUUCAGCGAUCAAAAUUUCCUUUGUGACCAACGAGGCUACCCAGAAGAGCUUGUCUUCUAUCAGUUGUGCCAUUUCAAGUACAUGGAUAAAGCUUGAUGAGCUCAAAUUUUUAAUCCAUUCCAUCAGUAACAUUGGUGCGACACUUUAUAAUAUUGGACAUCUUGAAGAGGCACCAAAGGCAUUAGAACUAUGCUGUCAAACAACAUGGGCAUACGCCAGACUUUCUUACUGUAGACUAUCAGCAAGAACGGAAGGUCACAUCAUUACUGAGGAUCUACCAAAAGAUACACUGAAGGAUAUCAUUACAGCUGCAUUUGCAAGGAUAACAAAGAUGGUUGGCAUUCUCGAUAGAUGUGGCUCAAAAGCGAUACGUGGUAUUAUUGUGAAGAGCCUGUCUGAAUUUUUUGUUUAUGGUGACACAUCUGAUUAUCACGAAAGCUAUUUGGCUCUGAUAAAGUUAUGGGUGAAGAUAACACUUAAGGAUUUUGAAGAUUACCAACGAGUGGAUAGUGCUCCUCUUCUCUAUCACUCUCUUAUGGGCUGCUCGCCUCCCUUGCCAAUGAAGUUCAUAGGCUUAAUCGUAGAGCAGGAAUUAUUAGCAUAUGGAGAAUCUCGUGUGACCAUGCUCUGUGCAAAUAUGCAACAUAGAAUAGUAGAUAUUCUAUUGAAUGAAAUAUAUUGUUCAAAAGAAUAUUAUCUGGACAGAUCAAAGGUUUUAGUUAGGAAGGCAUGUAUACUCCGUGGAUCUGGGGUGCAAAACAUAAGCAACUGUCUUGAGUCCUUAUCUGAAGCCAUAUCUUUACUGCAAGGCAUCUUACUGGAUUCAUCUCAAGGCAAUGCAAUUGUGAUCCAUGAAUUGGCUAUUGCAUAUUGCCUGCAUGCACAUUGUGCCCAGGAAGCCAAUCAUGGCGGCAAGGUAAUCUUUGAUAAUGCUAGGAGUGUUGUUGGCCUGUGGUCAAAGAUGGGUACUUUGGAUCAUUGUUCUCCUGGUGGGAUCUUUCAGCAGCAAUCCAAAACUCUUGUACCACUUCUUUGUUCCCUGGUUGAUUUGCUGGCAAUGAAGGGCUGCUUUGAGCUUCAGUUUGAACUGUGCAAGCUUAUCAUAAUGAUAUGGAAGCAAGAAAACUUACCCCUAGAAAAGUUAUUCUCCAUGUUAUUUAUCAACGGGCGCCUUAAUCAUGCGUGCUGUCAUCUCCCGAUGGACCAGAAUUUUGUUUCUUAUGUGGCACGGCAUCUUGGUUUUGAUUGCCACAAUACAAUAUUUUGGAGAAACUGUUUCAAAGAAGAUUAUCCUUCUCUUACUAUGUUUCUUCAGCGGUUGUGGCCUGUUGAUUUCUUUUCUCAAUCAUGUGAACACUCCUUUGGAAAUCAGUUUGGUUUCAAUGCUAGUGUUGAUGAGAUUGAUAAAGUUGCAUCAUCUCUGGUUUCUGAAGGUCCUUCGGGUAAUCAAUCAACCUAUCUGGCUGGCUGUAUAUACUAUGAUUUGUCAGAAAGACUUCUGUCAAGAGGACAAGUUCUCCAGGCCAUUUCAUAUGGAAGAGAAGCUCUCCAAUUGCGCAAGAAGCUCCUAAAAAAGAAGUUCAAAUUUAAUUUGGGCAAAUUUGUAAGUGGGGAAAGCCAAUAUUCUGGUGGGCAAGGCUUUGUUUCACUUGAAGCAUGGGGACCAACGAUGGCUGGAAUCUGGCCAGAUUGCACCAGGCCAAGCAGCAUGAGAGAUUCUUUCCUUACCCCAUGGAAUGUACUUAGAUGUUAUCUUGAGAGCAUAUUACAGGUUGCUGUGAUGCAUGAAUUGGUUGGCAAUGGUGCCGAAGCAGAAGUUUUAUUACGGAUAGGAAAGGAGAUAUCAUGUUUCCAAGGACUACAAAUUUUUGCUGUUGUCUUUACAUCAGUGUUAGGUCAAAUAUACCACAAGAGACAGCUAUGGGAUGCCGCUGAGGGUGAGCUUAAACAUGCUAAGGACCUCCUUGCAGAAAAUGAUGAAUUCAUUUCAUGCAAGACAUGCAAGUUGACUCUGCACAUAUCAGUUGAUGUGCAAGCUGGAGAUCUGUCUUGGAAUCUCUUUGAGAAAGACUUGCAGAAACAAUCAACAGGCAAUUUGUCUAGUGCUUUAGGCAUGUAUCAAUCUGCCGUGGAGAAAUUGAAUAACUCUGGUUUGGAUUUUUCUGCUGGAUCCUGUGAUAAAGUUAAUACUAGUUGUAUGUUGUGCAGCAAAGAUUCUAUUGCAGAAACCAAGCGUGGAGCUUGUAAUAAUGGGAAAGAACCCUUAGCAGCCAAGGAUGGAGUUUUACCUCCAUGUACUCCUUGUUUGUUGUUCAGUCAGGUACCUAUUGACCAGUACGAUGAACUUGUGGGAUUAAAAUCUGAAAGGGAGAAUUUGAAGAGUGCCGAAAGUGCUCCACCAUUGGAUGUUAAAGUUAAGAGGGCAUCCGGAACUUCAUUACGUUUAGCUAAAGAACAGAAUGUGUCAGCUCAUGCAAAGACUAGAACCACCCGAUCUAGUAAGCGAACUGCACAUGUGAAAAGUGAAAAAGACUUGGCUGAACUGAAUAACAAAAAUGACAUAUCUUAUAGCAAGGAAUUGUCCACAGAUGGUUUGGUCUGUGGGAAGCUAAACUGUUCUCUUGAUGGUGUUGGCCGCAACAGAGAUGACAUAUGCAAUAUGUUUGGAUGUUGGAGCUGCCUUUUUGUUAAUUCACUCAAUUUUGAGUGCAUUGAGAAUAUACUGCAGUUCAGAGAAGAUUGCAUUCGCCGACGCCAUCUUGUGUCGCUUCUGUUAAAAACAGCAAGAACCUUGGGAGCUCAGGGUGGAAAACAUGGAGCUCAUGAAGUUCAUAGUAUCUACUGGCAGUGCAUAUCAUUGUUGUAUUUCAGAUCUCUUCCUCAAGGGUGUUAUAGAACAUAUGGGCCUCGUUUAGUUGAACUGAUCAUGAAUGAAAAUACUGGUGAUUUUCUUUCUUUAGAGCGUGCAGAAAUACUAUGUAGUAUGAGUUCCUUUUUGCUGAAGGGUUUCCUUUCAGAACAGUCAAGGGAUGGUUGCUGCAGCUUCUGUAGUGUACAAAUGUCUGAUGUUGUUUCAUGGUUGCUGAAAGCUNNNNNNNNNNNNNNNNNNNNNNNNNNNNNNNNNNNNNNNGUUUGCAGGCUACUUACAUGCAUAUUCUUACUAUCAACGAUAGAUUCCUCGGUCCAAUUACCUUUGUAUUCCAAGGGAUCUCUCUCUUUGAAUCAUUGGGCCGCAUACUUCCACCAAACUUCUGUUGGAACUUAUCUCAAUUGCCAUUACCUUGCGAGCUUACAAGCAUUGCACAGAAAAACAGAAUCGAAGGGUGUCACUGGAGAUCUCACAGACAAGACAGAUGAAGUUCCAAAGUUUCUAAGGUUUUCAUCGGCAGGCAUGGAACAUCUUGAAAAACAUGUAAUUGAAUUCUUCCAUGAACUUCCUGAUUUACCAAUUGUGUGCAUUAGUAUGCUUGGAGGUGAUAUUGUGAAUGUUCUUGGGGAAACACUUCUUCUCCCUUCCCCUUUUCCUGCUUGGAUGUUGAUCUCAAGGUUUGAUUCAACAAACAAGCCUACCACGAUGCUUCUACCAGUGGAUCCUAUUUCGAAAGAAGCAGAGAAUGGAGACUCUUCUAUCAAACAACUGGAUAAUCCAACUAGAACAUCAGAUAAGGAAUGGAAGUGCCCUUGGAGCUACACUAUAAUAGACUAUGUGGCUCCAACUUUCAAAAAGCUACUUGAGGAUAACUUUAGAUCCCUCUCUGGUGCGACCCACAUUCCAGAGGAUGGAAAAGCAAACGCCAUAAGGUGGUGGUCAGAUAGAAUGAAGCUCAAUGAUGACCUUAGUGAGAUGUUGGAAAACAUUGAAGAAUUGUGGCUAGGACCCUGGAAAUGCCUUCUCCUGGGCCACCAAUUAGCUGACCAACAUAGCAAGUCAGUGCUGGAAAAUCUAAUCACUGCUCUGGAUUCAGAAUUUAAACUUGAAGUAGAUCCAGCACUCAUCAAGGUCAUCCUUGGUGGGGUUGCAUCAGUGGAUGAAUUGAAAGAAUGUGUUUCUCAACUUAUAUCAUACAAAAGUUACUUUGGCAGGGGAGGGUGUUGCGGAAGAGAUAGACUUAGAGCCUUCUGUUGCCAGACUGAUGGUGAAGCUCUGGUGACCCUCGAGCAUUUGUGCAAUGGUAUAGUGGAUGAGCUAUCUGAGCCAAUUGACAGAAAUCCGGUCAUUUUAGUCCUGGAUACUGAUGUGCAGAUGCUUCCUUGGGAGAACUUGCCUGCUUUAAGGAAUCAAGAAAUAUACCGCAUGCCAUCAAUGAGAAGCAUCUUUCUAGCAUUGACUAGAAGCACUAAUCAUCACAAAGAUGCCAGUGCCAUGGCCCCUCCUUUUCCUGUUAUUGACCCUUUCGAUGCAUUCUAUCUGUUGAAUCCUAGUGGUGAUUUGAUCAGCACACAAGAAGAAUUUUAUCAGUUGUUUAGAAACUAUGAGUGGAAGGGAAAUGCUGGGGAUGCUCCAACAGCUGAAGAGCUCGUCUUGGCCCUGAGGAAUCAUGAUCUUUUUCUCUACUUUGGACAUGGAAGUGGAAGUCAGUAUGUCUCUGGAAAGGAAAUUGAGAAGUUAGAUAACUGCGCAGCUGCUCUUCUUAUGGGUUGCAGUAGUGGGACACUUCAUUGCAAAGGCGGUUAUGCUCCUCAAGGGGCACCUUUGUCUUAUUUAUUUGCUGGUUCUCCUUCUGUCAUUGCAAACCUCUGGGACGUCUCGGAUAAAGAUAUCGAUCGAUUUAGUAAAGCAUUGCUGAAUUCAUGGUUGCAAGAAAAAUUUAAGGCCGCCAAGAAUUGCCCUAAAUGUUGCCACCCACUAACACAAGAAUUUGAGUCCACAACGAUUGCUGCAAAGGAUAAUGGUAGGCCAAGACGAAAAGGUACACGACAAGGUCAGAAGCAGCAGCAGACAGGAGAGAUAGAUGGCAGUAGUAACCGCUGUAAUUGCAGGCAUAGGAGAAUAGCUACGCAUAUAAGUGAAGCUAGGCGUGCUUGCAGGCUUCCGCUUAUUAUCGGCGCAUCUCCUGUUUGUUACGGUGUGCCUACUAUCAUCAGGAAGAAGUAA
rnacentral:rRNA from 1 species